ACUCCUACGGGAGGCAGCAGUGGGGAAUAUUGCACAAUGGGCGCAAGCCUGAUGCAGCCAUGCCGCGUGUGUGAAGAAGGCCUUCGGGUUGUAAAAGCACUUUUCAGUCGUGAGGAAGGUAGUGUAGUUAAUAGCUGCAUUAUUUGACGUUAGCGACAGAAGAACACCGGCUAACUACGUGCCAGCAGCCGCGGUAAUACGUAGGGUGCAAGCGUUAUCCGGAAUUAUUGGGCGUAAAGAGCUCGUAGGCGGUUUGUCGCGUCUGUCGUGAAAGUCCGGGGCUCAACUCCGGAUCUGCGGUGGGUACGGGCAGACUAGAGUGAUGUAGGGGAGACUGGAAUUCCUGGUGUAGCGGUGGAAGUGCGCAGAUAUCAGGAGGAACACCGAUGGCGAAGGCAGGUCUCUGGGCAUUAACUGACGCUGAGGAGCGAAAGCAUGGGGAGCGAACAGGAUUAGAUACCCUGGUAGGCUCU
rnacentral:rRNA from 1 species